GUGCAGCCCUGACCCAAGACGUCGGCCCCCAGAUGGGGACAGUUCAGUGUCCUGGGAGCAGCCCCCGGCUGAUAGUGUUCCAUCCUGGGACUGGAGGCGCCAGCAGGGCUUUCCAGCAGGGCAGCCCAAAACCAUGCCUUCUGAUAGACCCCUCCCUUGCUGACUUGAAGCUCCACCAUGAGACUUGCUUUGACCAAUGGGGCAAGUAGCAAACUUGGCACAAGAGGCUUUGAAUAAACUCUUCCUCUCUGGCUCCUCUGCCUCACCCAUGAAAAGAUGCCUAGCCUGGCCAUUUGGAGGAUGAGAGAGCACUGAGUCAGUUCAGCCUGAAGCCAGGCCAGACAAGGAGACAGCUCUGAGAUACAGAAGAGUCCAGCCAAGAUCUGCAAAGCCACCUCAUUAACCUGCAGCUGAGGGCAGAGGCGUGAAUGAGCAACCUGGACAAAGACUGCCCACCUCACCUACAGACUCCUGAGCUAAAUAAGCAUGUAAUGUUUUAAGCCACUGAGUCUUGUGAUUGUUCAUUAAGCAGCAACAGAUAACUAAUACAAGAUGGAACUGGCAGAGCUUGUGUAUGUAACAGGUAUUUAAGUCUACGACUUUUCCUCUAGGCAUAGCUUUAGCUGUCAUCAGAACCAUGAAUGUUUCUAUUACUGCUGUUUUUAGUAGAUAUUAUGCAAUUUCAGUGUAUUUUUUGACUCAAGUUCUUUGAGAGUUUUAAUUUAUAAGAGCUUUUCUUUCCCCUGUUUUGAUACAAAUUUCUACUUUUAUUGCAUGUAGUCAAAGGAUGUAAUCAAUAUUAUUUCCUCUUUCUGGAAUGUAUUGAGGUUUUCUUUGGUAGCCUUAUAGAUGGUGCUCUUUUAUACAUGUUCCCAUGAUUGUUUGAAAGGAGGUACAUUACAUUCUAUGUUUACAGCAAAGAAUCUGAUUCCUGAAGGCAGAAAAUAUACAUGUACACUUCACAAUGGUGGAUCCCAAACUGGGAUACAGACAAAUGGCAGGGGUGGGUUAUAUUUGCAUUCUCACACUGAUAUAAAGAAAUACCUGAGACUGGGUAAUUCAUAAAGAAAAGAGGUUUUAAUUGGUUCAUGGUUCCAUGGGCUAUACAGGAAGCAUAGCAGCUUCUGCUCCUGGGGAGGCCUCAAGAAACUUACAAUCAUGGCAGAAGGUGAAGGGGAGGCAGGCACAUCUUACGUGGCCAGAGCAGGAGGAAGAGAGAGAGGGGGAAGGUGUUACAUGCUUUUUUCUCUUUCUUUUUUUUUUUUUCUGAGAUGGAGUCUCACUCGGUCGCCCAGGUCAGAGGGCAGUGGUGUGAUCUUGGCUCACUGCAACCUCCUCCUCCCGGGUUCAAGCAAUUCUCCUGCCUCAGCCUCCCGAGAAGCUGGGACUACAGGCAUGAGCCACCACGCCCAGUUAAUUUUUGUAUUUUUAGUAGAGACGGGGUUUCACCUUGUUGGCCAGGAUGGUCUUGAUCUCUUGACCUCGUGAUCUGCCCACCUCGGCCUCCAAAAGUGCUGGGAUUACAGGCAAGAGCCACCACGCACUUUUAAACAACCAGAUCUCAUGAGAACUCACUCAGUAUCAUGAGAACGGCACCCAGGGAGACGGUGUUAAAGCAUUCAUGAGAAACCGCUCCCAUGAUUCAAUCACCUCCUACCAGGCCCCACACUGGGGAUUAUUAUUUGACAUGAGACUUGGGGGACACAAAUCCAAACCAUAUCAUGGGGGUAGGGGAGAAGGUGCCUGGUUCAAUACAGAGUCUUAAGACUCCACCUCAUUAGUAUUAAUUCAUUUGGUACAAGGAGGGCCUGGUAAUUGGGAUUUUACCCCCUUCCAUCCCAACCAUAGCCAGGUUCCUAUGAACCAAAGAAAGUCACUGACUGUUCUUUGAAUAACAUUAUGCUUUAUCUUUGAUUGUUUAUUGCUUUCGUAGACAGAGAAAGGGCCCUUAAAGUCUCUUGACUCCUCCCACUAAUAGCCUUGUGAAUUUGGGCAAGGCAUGCCAUCUCUCUGCACCGGUUUCACUUGUCAAAUGGGGACAACAACCCCAUCAAUUCUGGCUGUCGUGAGAACUCCCUGGCUUAUAGUGCCUGGCCCAGAGUAAGGCUCAGUAAUUGUGACCACUGCUGCUAUGAUGGCCUUGGAUUCCCGUGUUUGUUCGUUAGGUUCCGAUGCCGGAACUGGCUUUCAGGCCUCUGCUUAAAAGACAAUGACCUUCUGUCUCUUGCAAUGAGUUAGCAUUUACAGUUGAAAUGGGGCUCAGCACCCACCCACGUAGUCAGUCUUCAGCAAACCAGACAUGUUUCUAGAUUUUAUAUACAUAUGAUGUAAGCUCACUCAUUAAGCAAAUAUUCUUUAGCUCAGACUAUGUGUCCUGUGCUGUGCGGCUGCAAGUCAUGGUCCCGCCUGAAGGUAGCCUUGCCCUCAGCUGAACCCUGUCCCCGAGAUGCCUUCUCUACCUAUUCCCAUUCCCUGCAACUCACUCCAGGCCCCCUGGAGUGGUACCUGCCCCACUCUCAGGAACAUGCUUUGAAGUUAUGCUUUCAUAGUUCCAGAGUCCACAAGUCUGAAAUCCAGGUGUGAGCACGGCUAUGCUCCCCUGGAGGCUCUAGAGGAUACUUCCUCGGCCCUUCCAGCUUCUGGUGGCUCCUGGCGUUCCUGGCCUUGGCUGCCUCGCUCUGGCCUCUGCCUUCUCUACCCAUCAUCAGAACCUACCCACUCUGCUACAACCACGGCUUCAAAGUCAGCCAGGGAGAGAACAGGUCGGGCUUCGUGGGGUGAGGGUGUUGUUUCUGCAGAGGUGGUGGAGGGCCGGCCACAAGGUUAUCUAUAAAAGUAACCAGAAGGUCCGCUAGAGGAAUGCUUUUCCUGGGAGUGUGGGCUGCGGGGGCGUGUCCCUGAGUGUCAGGGUGUGGAGGGAGAGGAGGUGGCAGCUUCACAGGCAGCUGGGCAUGGCUGCUCUCCUGCUCUUGGACCUUCAGGGGCUCUCUGCUGCCCUCAGGGUAAGUCCACCUCUCAGGGUAACCCCUACUCACCUCCUGGGACACAGUUUAGAAGCCACGUCUUUUGGGAAGCCCUCCCCACCCUUCCUUUGGACACCUGCCCCACUUCUCCUUUGGCACCAUGACCACCUGUUACUUAGCCAUCUCCCAACAGACUGUGAACUUUCACAGCAGCAGUGAGCCUACUGUGUUGUAUGUUUGUUUGUUUUUGAGGCAGAGUCUCGCUCUGUCGCCCAGGCUGGAGUGCAGUGGUGCCAUCUCAGCUCAUUGCAACCUCCACCUCCCGGGCUCAAGUGAUUCUCGUGCCUCCUGAGUAGCUGGGACUACAGGCGCCCGCCUCAUACAAAAAAUGCCCAGCUCAUUUUUUGUAUUUUUAGUAGAGACGGGGUUUUGCCAUGUUGGCUAGACUGGUCUUGAACUCCUGACCUCAAGUGAUCCACCCGCCUCAACCUCCCAAACUGCUGGGAUUACAGGCGUGAGCCACAGCACCCAGCUAAGUUAUGUAUUUUAGUAGAGAUGGGGUUUCACCAUGUUGGCCAAGCUGGUCUCAAACUCCUGACCUCAAGUGAUCUGCCCGCCUCAGCCUCUCAAAGUGCUGGGAUUAUAGGCAUGAGUCACCGGGCCUGGCUGAUCCUGUUGUGUUGAUUGCUGGAUCCCUGGCCGCCAGUUCAGGGCUGGCCAAUAGGAGGUGCUCAUUAAAUGCUUGUAGAGCAAGGAAAGGGGACUCAGAUGGUCUGCAGAGGGUUGAAUGGUGACCUCCCCCAAAAUAUACGUCCACCUGGAACCUGUAAAUAUGACCUUAUUUGGGAAAAAAGGGUCUUUGUACAUAUAACUAACGAUCUUGAGAUGAGAUUAUAGGUGCCAACUGUCCUCAGAAAAGAAAGGCAGGCUGGGCGUGGUGGCUCAGGCCUGUAAUCCCAACACUUUGGGAAGCUGAGGCGGGUGGAUCACCUGAGGCCAGGAGUUCAAGAUCAGCCUGGCCAAUGGUGAAACCUUGUCUCUACUAAAAAUACAAAAAUUAGUUGGGCGUGGUGGCGGGCACCUGUAAUCUCAGCUACUCGGGAGGCAGAGGUUUCAGCGAGCCGAGAUCGUGCCAUUGCACUCCAGCGUGGGUGAGGGAGCAAGACUGUCUCAAAAAUAAGUUGAGCAAGGAUCCUCCCCUAGAGCCUUCGGAGGGAGCACGGCCCUGCCCACACCUGGAUUUCAGACCUGUGGACUCCGGAACUGUGAGAGCACAACUUUCUGUUGCUUUAAGCCCCCCAGUUUGAGGUAUUUUGUUACAGCAAUCACAGGAAUUAACAUACUGCCCUAUCAGAGAAAGCCUUUCUGAAGAUCUGCGGAAAAGAAGGACGUUAGGGAAAAGCCAGCCUCUGUGUAGGUAACACUCCGAGGGUGCACUUGGUCAGACACGAGUGAAUCUACACAUGGGGCAAACUUGAUGCCUUAUUCCCCCAGCCCCCAAAAUUGGCAUUUUGUCUUAAUGUGUAAGCAACAAGAUCCACAUGUUACUUUGGAGUUUUUCACUGACAACCAGCACUAGUGUCUAACACAGUGGGUUAAGAAAAGUGGGUUAACUUUUCUUGGUUUAAGAAUGUGAUGAGGCCAGGCAUAGUGGCUCACACCUGUAAUGCCAGAACUUUGGGAAGCCACGGCAGGAGGACUGCUUGAGCCCAGGAGUUUGAGGCCAGCCUGGGCAACAUAGGGAGACCCCUUCCCUAAAAAAAAUUAAAAAAUUAGCCGAGCAUGGUGGUGCAUGCCUGUAGUCCCAGCUACUCAGAAGGCUGAGGCAAGAGGAUGACUUGAGCCUGGGAGGUUGAGGCUGCAGUAAGCCAUGAUCACACUACUGCACUCCGGCCUGGGUGACACAGCAAGACCCUGUCUCAAAAAAAAAAAAAAAAGAAAAAAGAAAAAAAAAAACCCCAAAAAUCUGAUGAACACAUUAGAUUCAUGAGUCUUUUUCUUUUUUCUUUAAAAUACUUUAAGUUCUGGGAUACAUAUGCAGAAAGUGCAGGUUUGUCACAUAGGCAUACAUGUGCCAUGGUGGUUUGCUGCACCCAUCAACCCACCAUCUACAUUAGGUAUUUCUCCUAAUGCUAUCCCUCCCUUAGCCCUCCACCCCCAACAGGUCCCGGUGUGUGAUGUUCCCUUCCCUGUGUCCAUGUGUCCUCAUUGGUCAACUCCCACUUAUGAGUGAGAACAUGUGGUGUUUGGUUUUCUGUUCCUGUGUUAUUUGGCUGAGAAUGCUGGUUUCCAGCUUCAUCCAUGUCCCUGCAAAGGACAUGAACUCAUUCUUUUUUACGGCUGUGAUACAUGAGUCUUUAAACAAUGCUUAUGUGGGGUUAGGUUCUAACGUCAGCUCAAAAGGUGGAAAUCAAGGACAGUCAAAUUGACCUUGAAAAUGCCCUGGGAAGACCCCAGGCAGCACCCAACGAUCAGUGGCUGAGGCUGCUGGCUGCCCCCAGCAUUUGUUUUCCCGCUUCCUGUAGAAGGAGGGGCUGUAUGUUUUGGGGAGCAUAUGGCUGCCCAAGAGAAAGACCAUUUCCCAGCAUCUCUUGCAGCUAGGCUCAACCAGGUGACCAUAUUCUGGUCAAAGUGACAUGAGAAUGCACAGGCUGUGUCCUUGAAGGGCAGGGCAAGCCCUCUUUUUCCUCCCCACUCCCAGUGACUGGGUGAUGGCAGCACAGCGGGGUGCUGUCUGGGCCAUGGAGGCGUGUCAGAGUGACAGUUCAGAGGGGCUGGGCCCCUGCUGCUGUCAGACCAGGCCUGUUCACCUUCCAACUGUCAUGUGACAGAAAUCCACCUCCAUCUCAUUUAAGCCCACUAAUGUCUGGGUCUGUCACAGGAACCAACACAUUCCCUGACCUAUAUACACUGUUGCUCUGGGAGGCGAACACAGCAGGCUGUCCCCCAGCACUGGGGCAGCUGCUGUUCUUUGGUUGAGCAUUGGGUGAAGUUGUUGACUUGUGUUCAGGGUUCACAAAAUACCUCGCAGCUCACAAAGACUGCAGUGAGAUGCUUACACUAUGAGGGUUGGGCAAUUGAGCCUAGGAAUAUAAAAUCCUGGGAGGUGGAGGGGUUAAGGGUGCCGGACUCCUCAGCCCCACAUCUCAGCAUCUCUGGGGAAUGCAGUCUGAGAAUCGUUCAUGGGACGCAGUGUUUCCUGCUAUCCCUUGCACGGACUGCCACAUAUCCAGCUUCCUGUCCUCUUCCACAAAGCCAGAGGGGAAGGAGAGGAGGGUCUUUGACUGUGGAGCCACAGCCUGGGAAAAGGGACUGCCUUCUUUCUGGAACAUCGGCCACGGGCUGCUCCCCUCCUUUCCUGGAGCCUCAGUUUCCUCAUCUGUGCCAUGGCAGUGACAGCCCCUGCCUAGUGACUCAGCUCCCACCUGCGAAAGUGCUUUGUAAACUGCAGGUGUACAAGGUGGCAGCGAUGUUAUCGCCUGGAAUCUUUUUGGGGACCAGGAGAAGGGAGGGCUCCUGACAGUUUCCAGGAAAGGCAGGAGCAGCUGCUAUCCAGAAAUCUGCACAACAAAAUGUCUGCUAUUGGCCUAAGCCCAAGGAUGGGACAUGGUGGCCCCAGUGGACCGCUUCCAUGAAAUCUGCAAUUAUGGGGAAGUGGGGCUUAUUAAGGAAGCUGGAGGGGAAUGCGGCCCUGGCUUCUAGCAAUGCUAUAAUUAGAUUGCAGGGCCCCUUUUACUUUGCUGACGAUCCAGAAGGCCUUGGCCCGGGGCUUGUGCUGAAAUACCCUGGCCUCCUGGGCAGCGGGUGAUGGCCCAAGCCUGUCGGGGUGCAGAAGGACACUGCCUUUAUGUUGGGGGGAUGGGGUAACAACAGCUGAGGCUUGUGUAGUGCUCAUGUGGGGCCGGCGCCAUUCUCAGCCUUCACUUCAUCCUGGCAUCUGCAGGAGUCUGUCCUGUUCUCGGUUCACAGGUGAGAACACAGGCACAGAGAGGUCAAGGAGGUUGCUCAAGGUCACAUUGUGGCUAAGUGGCAAAGUAGUAAAGAAGGGGUAUGAAUGAUUGAAAUCAGGGGUCGCCAAACCACAGCUCGUUUUUCUUUUUCCUGCUACUGUUGCCUGGUCUUGUCAAUAAAGUUUUACUCAGCACAUGUGCCGAGGCAGCAUAGCAGAGGUGAAAGAGCCGGAACGGGGAAUUCUGCCACAGUGUGACCUUGUAGAAGACACUCUGGGCUUUCUAAUCUGUAAAAUGAUGGGGGUUUGCUUUAGAUCGGGGUCACUGCACUUGAUGCAAAGGGCCAGAUGGUAAAUAUUUUAGGCUUUGCAGGUCAUAAGGUCUCUGUUGCUACUCAACUCUGUUACAUGCAGCAACUAUUGACAAUAUGUAAACUAAUGGGCAUGGCUGUAUUCCAAUAAAACUUUAUUCACAAAACCAGGCAACAGCAGCACAAAAAAAAAAAAAAAAAAAGAGGGCCAUGGUUUGCCAACCCCUGAUUUUGAUCAUUCACGUCGCUUCUUUACUACUUUGCCUCACGAAAUUCAUGUUUUUAAUACUUUUCUUUAUACGAAUUCACCGGUAUUCCUUAGAGCUUAGCAACACCAUAGGUUUGAUGACCUAAACAAAUACAGGUUUGUAUUUGUGGCAUACAUGUGAAAAUAAACUUGUGAGUUAAAAAUUAAAAAGAAAAGUGUGUGGGCCACCUAAACCAUCUCCUGAAGCACAGAGGUCCGUGCUCUGUGCUUUGGGAGACAUUUUUUAGUUCAAUAUAUUUUUUUUCGAGAUGGAGUCUCACUCUGUUGUCCAGGCUGGAGAGCAGUGGCACGAUCUCGGCUCACUGCAACCUCUACCUCCCGGGUUCAAGUGAUUCUCCUGCCUCAGCCUCCCGAGUAGCUGGGACUACAGGCACGUGCCACCAUGCCCGGCUAAUUUUUUAUAUUUUUAGUAGAGAUGGGGUUUCACCAUGUUAGCCAGGAUGGUCUCCAUCUCCUGACUUUGCGAUGACCCACCUUGGCCUCCCAAAGUGCUGGGAUUACAGGCGUAAGCCACCGCGCCAGGCCUAGGUCAGUGUUUUUCAAAUCACUGAGGUGUUGAGGGGGAAGAGGAGUCUGGGUGGGGGAGGUCAGGCCUGUACCCUGACUUGGAACAAAGCAGUUUUGCUUAAUCUGUUUAAGACAUUUGUUUGGGAAACGGGUUCUGGGGCCAAAGGAGUUUGGAACCAUCUAGAAGUGGCUUCAAAAUGAACUUGAGGCCUGUGCAGUGGCUCAUGCCUGUAAUCCCAGCACUUUGGGAGGACGAGGCAGGAGGAUUAUCUGAGGUCAGGAGUUCAUGACCAGUCUGGCCAACAUGGCAAAACCUCACCUCUACUAAAGAUACAAAACUUAGCCAGGCAUAGUGGUGCAUGCCUGUAAUCUCAGCUACUUGGGAGGAUGAAGUGGGAGGACUGCUUGAACCCAGAGAGGCAGGGGCUGCAGUGAGCCAAGAUCGCGCCACUGCACUCCAGGCUGGGCGACAGAGUGAGACUCCAUCUCAAAAAAAAAAAAAAUAAAAUAAAAAAAUUAACUUGAAGCAUUGAAGCUAUGAGAUUUCCCAGGUCUGUCUACACGGGGCUGUUAGUUCCCAUGCUGACUCUUAGAUUUCUUUUUUUUUCCCUUUUUUUUUGGGAGACAGCAUCUCACUCCAUUGCCCAGGCUGGAGUGCGAUGGUGUGAUCAUGGCUCACUGCAGCCUCGACCUCCUGGGCUCAAGUGAUCCUCCCACCUCAGCCUCCUGAGUAGCUGGGACCACAGGCCCA
rnacentral:lncRNA from 1 species